rnacentral:rRNA from 1 species
GACAGAGGGUGCAAACGUUGUUCGGAAUUACUGGGCGUAAAGAGCUCGUAGGUGGUUUGUCGCGUUGUUCGUGAAAUGCCACAGCUUAACUGUGGGCGUGCGGGCGAUACGGGCAGACUGGAGUACUGCAGGGGAGACUGGAAUUCCUGGUGUAGCGGUGGAAUGCGCAGAUAUCAGGAGGAACACCGGUGGCGAAGGCGGCGACCUGGGUAGAUACUGACGCUGAGGUGCGAAAGCGUGGGAAGCAAACAGG